rnacentral:rRNA from 1 species
AAGCAUAUCAAUAAGCGGAGGAAAAGAAACCAACAGGGAUUCCCUUAGUAACGGCGAGCGAAAAGGGAUGAGCCCAGCAUGUAAAUCUCCGGUUUCCGGCGAAUUGUAGUCUGGAGUAGCAACUCCUGGUGCCGUGCCGACCCAAGCAUCUUGGAAUAGAUCGCCUCAGAGGGUGAGAGCCCCGUAGGUCGGUACGAGCUCCUACACGGAGUGCUCACGCAGAGUCGGGUUGUUUGGGAAUGCAGCCCCAAUUGGGUGGUAAACCCCAUCUAAGGCUAAAUACCUGUGGGAGACCGAUAGCAAAAAAGUACCUCGAGGGAACGAUGAAAAGACCGCUGGCAAGCGAGUGAAAGAGUGCAUGAAAUUGUAUAGUGGGAAGGGAUGGCCUGGCGUAUUGCCCGCGGGUAUACACUGCUCUUUGAGCUCUUGAAUACACCGUGGGCUGGCUGGUGCCGAUACCUGCGCUUGCAAAUCCCCAAACUAAGGUGUUUGGCUCUUCAAGCGCGGGUGUUGAGGUUGAUCGUCGCUCUGUUUUAAACUGCGUCGACAAG